AUCUGUUUUAGGGAGUUCAUAAUGUUAAACUUAUUUGGUGAAGAGAUCAAGUAAGUGUAUACAACCAUAGUAUUUUAAGAGUGAUGUUAGGGUUAAAAUUACCUUUAUAUUAGGCGUAUGUUACAAUUGCUAUUUAUUAUACUCUUUGUGGUUUAUUUGUAGUCUCCUUAUAAAUUUAAUUGGUUGUGGUUAAGUAUCAUAUAAUAAGUAAUUUUAUUAGUCUCUUUGUUUUUCAUUUACAUCCCGUCUGUUUAUUAAAAACAUUUCCAUAUUAUAGAUUUUAUAUGGUAGGACCUGCUCUAUGUGUUAUAAAUGGCCGCAGUAUCUUGACUGUGCGAAGGUAGCAUAAUUAAUUGCCCUUUAAAUGGGGGCUUGUUUGAAUGGUUUGACGAGGUUGUUUUUAACAUGGAGACUUUUGUUGAAAUUGAUGAUGUGAAUACAGAAUUUACAUUAUUUAAUUAGACGGAAAGACCCUAGGAUCUUUGUAUAUUUUGCUUGGGGCAAGU
rnacentral:rRNA from 1 species